rnacentral:rRNA from 1 species
UACAGAGGGUGCGAGCGUUAAUCGGAAUUACUGGGCGUAAAGCGUGCGCAGGCGGCUUGGCAAGUCAGAUGUGAAAUCCCCGGGCUCAACCUGGGAAUUGCAUUUGUGACUGCACGGCUAGAGUGUGUCAGAGGGGGGUAGAAUUCCACGUGUAGCAGUGAAAUGCGUAGAGAUGUGGAGGAAUACCGAUGGCGAAGGCAGCCCCCUGGGAUAACACUGACGCUCAUGCACGAAAGCGUGGGGAGCAAACAGG